AGACAUCUGUUCCUCAGACACAACCAAUCAUUUUGUGUUUGAUUUCAGAAUGUCUUAGAGUAAAAAAAUGAGCUGCUUCACCCAGAAUUGUCAUUUUUUUCUAACACUGUUUGGCUUUGCGGGCUCAGACAUUU